UAAUGAAUGCCUCAAAACAUUCACAAACUUUCUGAAAAGUAGAUUUUUACGUCUAUACAGGGCCAGAACCAGGUAUGGGAUGUUGUACAGUAUAUACUUACAGGAUAACUGUAAUGUUACAGGAUACAAACUCAAAUGUUAAGUGUUGUCUAUUUCCAUUUCAAUUUCAGGCCAUUGGAUGCAUAUCCUAAAACAACCCAUCCACAGGCCACUUAAACAGAAGUCCUGAGGAGCAGGAAAAGCAGGAUUAAUGAAAGAUGCAGAGCUUCUGAAGAGAGUCUUUCUGAAGAUGAUACAGUUAUUUGUAAUUAUUAAAAGAAUAAUUGAACAAUA